AAAAUAAAUAUCUAACCAGCAUGCAUCACGUCAGGUCAACGCUGCGCAUCGAUGAGAAAAGUUUAACGCAAGGGGGGAAAAAAGGUUAUGCCACGCCCCCUUACCUUGACCUACGAACCGGAAGUAAGGACAGGUGUGUGGGUGUAGCACAUGGUGUGGAGGGGAGUGAGGCCCCAGGUGUCGCAGAAAAGUACAUCGGUAAACAAGAAAAAACAACUUCUAAUACAACAAAAACAGCCAAGUCUGAGGGAAAGAGUGAUCCUGACCUGGAUAUUAUGGACUGAAAUAUGAAAAUGAACUGAGGACAGUGUUCAGAGAUGGUGACACGGUGAACAUGGAGUCCAACAGAAGAAAGAACAGGAAGUGUGAAUUUCUCUCAGACCCCUCAGAGAUUCAUCUCUGCAAUGAACUUCAACAUCUAUGGAGACUUUGUUCAAAUAUAAUCUGAGCUGUGAGGCGCAGCGGUGACCUGCAGUCUGCUGGAAAUCUGAGAGGAGAAGAAGAAGAAUAGGUGCGGAGACUCCAGCCUUCUGCACAAGGUUUCAUCAUGGAGUCUCAGCUGUGACAGAAGCAGGCAUCACAGAGAGGAAACAGCUCCAAGGAUAAAGUACCUGAAGGUGUAGAGAGUCCCCAUGUCCAGCAUGGAGAGCAGCUCAGCUUUGGAUUUGGGGAAGGACAGACGGUAACGAAGCGUCUCGAACGCUGGAACCACCAGAGCCUUCUUCGUGUGAGCCAUGUCCAGCUGCACCACAGACUUCCUGCUCGGAGAAAACACGAGGUGUGUGUGCUGCUUGUUGUACCUGUCCAUGGAGAGCUGGGCCACCAGUGUGAUGUCAGUGUCAUCCUCGGUGGGCGUGUACUCGUACUGCAGGAAGUAGAGGUGCACACGGUGGACACCGAACAGCUCUCGUCUCAGCAGGUUUCCGUCGUACUCCAGGAAGGUCAGGUACAGGUUCCUGAAGAACUCCACGUGUUUGUUCUUCACACGGAGCUUCUUCGGAGAGUUCCAGUGGAUCACCUGGAACCACAGCACAGAGGACGAGGUCCCCUAUCUCUCUCUGUGCGAUUCAAUAAGACCUCAGGUAUAAAAGCAGAGCAGAACCUGUUGACCCUGCAUGAAGACCUCUACGAGUGACACCAAACAAUAGUAAAGACCUGCAACUUGACCUGUGCAACUCAAACGAAGCAAGGAAACCAAACAAGGCAUCAGCACAUUCAAAAUGGAGGCUAACACCGCGUGUCUGAUUCUGUUCCACAGAGGAGGUUAGCUGACAGCUCAAAGCCUUACUGACAGGACAACUACAGCUUUCUGGACUGGAAGAUGUGUUGACUUGACUGAAUGUGUUCACUGAGGUGUAUGGUUAGGUUAGUUGUUAGAAUGUUUGACACAGGUAGGACUGGAGGUACAUCCAGUAACUGUUGUGCAUGCAAUUAACUAACCUCUUAACUCGAUACCUUCAUUUUAUCUGAGUUUCAAAGUGGCUGCUUUUUCUUAAGCCACAUGGCUUGAAACAAAGGAACUGCAAAAAAAGAUGGCUGCUAAGGCUGACCGCAUGGCAUGUGGUGGAGGAAACUUCUUUAACCUGUGGCCAUCUUUUGAUUCUACCAUCUUGUUUGUAGUUCCUUUGUUUCAAGCCAUAUGGCAGCCUUUUUGAAACUCAGGUAAAAAUGAAGGUAUCGAGUUAAAGAGGUUAGUUGCAUGCACAACAGUCAUGUGUACAACACUAAUAACUAACCCUACCAAUAAACCUCAGUGAACACAUUCAAUCAACACAUACUCUGAAAAUUGACAGUCCCAUGGUUAGCCGUGCUCUGCUAAGUAAGAUAAGACUCAAUUGCUUUACCUGUGCAAAGCACUUUCCUACAUUAGAUGUGUUCUCACUGUUUUCAUUUGUUAAAUAAAUGUUUUUGAAUGUU